rnacentral:rRNA from 1 species
UACGUAUGGUGCAAGCGUUAUCCGGAUUUACUGGGUGUAAAGGGAGCGCAGGCGGCACGGCAAGCCUGAUGUGAAAGCCCGCGGCCCAACUGCGGGACUGCUUUGGAAACUGCCCGGCUAGAGUGCUGGAGAGGUAAGCGGAAUUCCUAGUGUAGCGGUGAAAUGCGUAGAUAUUAGGAGGAACACCAGUGGCGAAGGCGGCUUACUGGACAGUAACUGACGUUGAGGCCCGAAAGCGUGGGGAGCAAACAGG